GGGGGGGUGGAGCAGCUUGGUAGCUCGUCGGGCUCAUAACCCGAAGGUCGUCGGUUCAAAUCCGGCCCCCCGCA
rnacentral:tRNA from 1 species